rnacentral:rRNA from 1 species
CAGCAGCCACGGUAAUACGUAGGGUGCAAGCGUUAAUCGGAAUUACUGGGCGUAAAGCGUGCGCAGGCGGUUUGUUAAGACAGAUGUGAAAUCCCCGGGCUCAACCUGGGAACUGCAUUUGUGACUGGCAAGCUAGAGUGUGGCAGAGGGGGGUGGAAUUCCGCGUGUAACAGUGAAAUGCGUAGAUAUGCGGAGGAACACCGAUGGCGAAGGCAGCCCCCUGGGCCAACACUGACGCUCAUGCACGAAAGCGUGGGGAGCAAACAGGAUUAGAUACCCCAGUAGUCCCUGUCUCUUAUAC